GACGAACCGUCCAAACGUUAUUCGGAAUUACUGGGCUUAAAGGGUGCGUAGGCGGCGCGGAAAGUUGGGUGUGAAAUCCCUCGGCUCAACCGAGGAACUGCGCCCAAUACUACCGUGCUUGAGGGAGAUAGAGGUGAGCGGAACUUAGGGUGGAGCGGUGAAAUGCGUUGAUAUCCUAAGGAACACCGGUGGCGAAAGCGGCUCACUGGAUCUCUUCUGACGCUGAGGCACGAAAGCUAGGGUAGCGAGCGGG
rnacentral:rRNA from 1 species